GGCUGAGGCACGAGCGAUAGACAGUCGUCAGGAGAUGGACCUGGCGCUGGACAACAGGGCCAAACUGAAUGAUGAGCUGCAGCAGCUCAAGAAAGAGGCAUGUCAAACAUAGUAAUACAUACUUAAACACAUGCGCACACACACUACUGACACACAAACAUACAGACCAUACAUACAUAAUACAAAUGACAUGAAUGAUAUUAUGUUGCAGUGCAGAGACAAGGUUAAAUCCAAGUCAACUAAUCUAAUCAUGUAAUGAUUUAUUUAAUCAUUGUGUGGUACUUCAUCUUUCAAAGCACACAGAUGUUCAGCUCUUGUUAGCCAAAGCAGAGAAGAACUACUUUGAGACCAAGCUGAAGCUGGACAGAAUAUCCUCUGAGAAGCAGGUUCUGCUGGAGGAGAACCGAGGACUGGAAGAGGAGAGGAACAACCUGCGGCACCGGCUGAAGGGACUGACAGAGGAGAAUGUGAAGAUCAAAGAGAAGGAGGUGAGCUCCAGACGCAGAGCUCUUGCUGCAGAGGAGCAGAGCGAGAGGUCCAGCAAAGCCCAGCAGGAGGCCGAGCAGGGGCGGAGGGUGGCGGAGGAGGAGCGGGAGCACCGCACCAGUGAGUGCCUGGGCUGGAGGGAGAAGCACCAGGCUGCGGAGAACAUCCUCAGGGCUCAGGAGGACCUCAGGGCCCAGCGGAGGAACAAAGCAUGUCAGGCAAACAUCAAGAACUACUUCCUGUGCAUGACUGAAAGUGACCAGAGGGUUAAAAUCCUGAAGAACUCAGAUGGGGCUCCAAGGAACUUCACGGUAAUGUGUCGUUUGACAAAAACAUGGUUCAGAGAGGCAAAUGUAUUCUUUGCAACAUCCAGGUAUGCGGGCUGA
rnacentral:lncRNA from 1 species